rnacentral:rRNA from 1 species
UACGUAGGUGGCAAGCGUUGUCCGGAUUUAUUGGGCGUAAAGAGCGUGUAGGCGGCCCGACAGGUCCGUUGUGAAAACUCGAGGCUCAACCUCGAGACGUCGAUGGAAACCGUCGGGCUAGAGUCCGGAAGAGGAGAGUGGAAUUCCUGGUGUAGCGGUGAAAUGCGCAGAUAUCAGGAGGAACACCCGUGGCGAAAGCGGCUCUCUGGGACGGUACUGACGCUGAGACGCGAAAAGCGUGGGGGAGCGAACAGG